rnacentral:misc_RNA from 1 species
AAAGAAUGGGAACUCUUUUAUGGAAAACUAUAAAUUUAUUCUCCACAAGUAAUCCGAACUAAAACGUAGAUUCUGUGUUUUUUGAAUUAGUCUUUCUCGGCACCAAGGAGUCAUGGUUAAUAUAACCCCAUAUCAAUGAUCAAAGAUUGAUUCUAAGAUUCUGGCUCGUGUUGCAAAGUUUUCUCAUAAAAUUUAACUAUCCGGCGUAUGAAUU